GACGAACCGUGCGAACGUUAUUCGGAAUCACUGGGCUUAAAGCGCGUGUAGGCGGGGCGGCACGUCUGUCGCUGAAAUCCCCCGGCUUAACCGGGGAACUGGCGGAGAUACGACCGUCCUGGAGGGGCGUAGGGGGACCUGGAACUUCCGGUGGAGCGGUGAAAUGCGUUGAGAUCGGAAGGAACGCCCGUGGCGAAAGCGAGGUCCUGGACGCCUACUGACGCUGAGACGCGAAAGCCAGGGGAGCGAACGGG
rnacentral:rRNA from 1 species